CGUUCCGCUACACUGUUGAUGAGGGUAAAAGAGGAGAGUGCAAAAGCUGGAUUGCUGCUUAACAUUAAAAAGACUAAGAUUAUGGCAAACAGCAAUCUUAUUUCCUGGCAAAUAGAUGGGGAAGAAGUGGAGGCAGUGACAGAUUUUAUUUUCCUGGAAUCCAAGAUCUCUUCAGAUGGUGACUGUAGUCAUGAAAUUAAAAGACGUUUGCUUCUGGGGAGGAAAGCUAUGGCAAGCAUG